UACGUAGGGUGCGAGCGUUGUCCGGAAUUACUGGGCGUAAAGAGCGUGUAGGCGGCUUGGUAAGUCCGCUGGGAAAGUCCAGGGCUCAACCCUGGAAUGCCGGUGGAAACUGUCAAGCUUGAGUCCGGAAGAGGCGAGUGGAAUUCCUGGUGUAGCGGUGAAAUGCGCAGAUAUCAGGAGGAACACCAAAGGCGAAGGCAGCUCGCUGGGACGGUACUGACGCUGAGACGCGAAAGCGUGGGGAGCAAACAGG
rnacentral:rRNA from 1 species